UCGGACGUGGUGUAAUGCAACACAGCCUCUCUUCCUAAUUACAUCGAAAAUCAGCGAAUACUGAGGCAAACCCGGGUUCGACUCCCGGCGUCCGAA